UACUGAGGUUUCUGGGGGUAGUUUGUCC
rnacentral:sRNA from 1 species